GUGAAGAGAGAAGAGCAGCUGUGGCAAAUCCAUGGCUAACGAGCUGCAUACUGCUUUUUCUUUGUUUUAAUGUGACUCUGGCACCUGGCACUGCUUCCACUCCCGACACUGACACCCACUGACUAGACAGGCUGUCUAUUCUCACAGGCAUACAGCUGUUCAAGGGAGGCUUCUUGUGUAUCUGGGAAAAGCAGGCACUGCUCUGCUCAAUGCGCGUUGUGAAGUAACAUUGCAUAAUGAGAGGUGGAGCUCAAGGCAGCCACCUGGAGGACGUGGUCGCCGCGGAUGCCAGAAGAUUGAAGGGACAGUCUCCUUAAUAUGCAUCUUCAACACAAUCUGCUGCUGUAUGGCUGAAGUGGACAUACAUAUCUUUACUGGAUGUGGACAAGGCCAUUUUGGUCAGAAUCCAUUUGUUUUUUUGUUUUGUUUUUUCGUUUCUUACUCACAAUCAAGAUGAGGGAAGUGUGGUUGGCGUCUUGGAGGUGUGACCAAAAUUUGGAGUGGUGGUACCAAAGAAACUGUAGACAAUCUUCGUGGCGGAGUAGACUGCUGUGGUUGUGAUUGGACAUCAGACCUUGCUUUCUUUGUUGCCACAUGUACUUUUGUUUGGUGUGCUACAGGAGUCCUCCUUCUGCUGGUCAAAACUUCUUGGGAUGAACCUGGGAUUUAAAGUGUACUUUUGUUAUGGCCAUUCCUUUACAAACAUAACCUAUACUACAAUGGACACUUUACCUGCUUCCGCAGCGUCAUCAUCAUCAGAUGUAAUGGGAGUGACUGUAGGCCAACCAGUACUGCUUUUUUUCAACACUGUAAAUAAUGAAAUAAAUAAAAGAACUCAUUUCUUCA